rnacentral:rRNA from 1 species
AUUGAACGCUGGCGGCAUGCCUUACACAUGCAAGUCGAACGGCAGCACGGGAGCAAUCCUGGUGGCGAGUGGCGAACGGGUGAGUAAAGUAUCGGAACGUGCCCAGUCGUGGGGGAUAACGUAGCGAAAGUUACGCUAAUACCGCAUACGAUCUAUGGAUGAAAGCGGGGGAUCGCAAGACCUCGCGCGAUUGGAGCGGCCGAUAUCAGAUUAGGGAGUUGGUGGGGUAAAGGCUCACCAAGCCGACGAUCUGUAGCUGGUCUGAGAGGACGACCAGCCACACUGGGACUGAGACACGGCCCAGACUCCUACGGGAGGCAGCAGUGGGGAAUUUUGGACAAUGGGCGCAAGCCUGAUCCAGCCAUGCCGCGUGCAGGGUGAAGGCCUUCGGGUUGUAAACUGCUUUUGUACGGAACGAAAAGGUUUGGCCUAAUAAGCUGAGCUCAUGACGGUACCGUAAGAAUAAGCACCGGCUAACUACGUGCCAGCCGCCGCUGUAA